AAUGAACGUUGGCGGCAUGGAUUAGGCAUGCAAGUCGAGCGAGAAGGAAAUCAAAGUUUACUUUGGUUUCCGGAAAGCGGCGCAAGGGAGAGUAACGCGUAGUUAUCUACCCCAAGGCCCGGAAUAGCUGCGGGAAACUGCAGGUAAUGCCGGAUAAUAUCCCCGGAUCAAAGGUGUGAUUCCGCCUUGGGAGGAGACUGCGUUGUACUAGCUUGUUGGUAGGGUAAUGGCCUACCAAGGCUACGAUGCAUAGCGGGCGUGAGAGCGUGGCCCGUCUCACUGGGACUGAAACACUGCCCAGACACCUACGGGUGGCUG
rnacentral:rRNA from 1 species